rnacentral:lncRNA from 1 species
UGGGGAGUGACUAAAACCUGCAACAUGGAAAGAAUUGGGAAUUCAUAUGAGAAAAGAUUAUCUGAACUUCAGCAAUGACUAAGGGAACAGAUAUAAGAUAUCAGAACACAUAGUGGCCAACUAAAUGAAAGGGCAGAUGAUGAGACAAAGAAGUUUCAGAUCUUUAUACAAGUCUGAGGAUGUGAAGAAGAACAGAUUGACUAAUGAGAUCAAGGUGGUGAGUUGAACCGUCUUGUGAGUUGAACCGUCUUGUACCAUAAUCAAUUUCACAACAAGAAAUAAUUUAUUCAGGGAACAAAGAAUCAAUCCUAAUUUCAGCCAACAAUCUCAUAUGGUAACUGCAGGGAAAC